AACGAACGCUAGCGGCAGGCUUAAUACAUGCAAGUCGAGGGGUAGCAAGAUUGUAGCAAUACAACUGUUGACGACCGGCAAACGGGUGCGGAACACGUACACAACCCUCCUACAAGUGGGGAAUAGCCCAGAGAAAUUUGGAUUAAUACCCCGUAACAUAGCGAUGUGGCAUCACAUUGCUAUUAUAGCUUCGGCGCUUGUUGAUGGGUGUGCGGCUGAUUAGAUAGUUGGCGGGGUCACGGCCCACCAAGUCUACGAUCAGUAGCUGAUGUGAGAGCAUGAUCAGCCACACGGGCACUGAGACACGGGCCCGACUCCUACGGGAGGCAGCAGUAAGGAAUAUGGGACAAUGGACGCAAGUCUGAUCCAGCCAUGCCGCGUGAAGGAUUAAGGUCCUCUGGAUUGUAAACUUCUUUUAUAAGGGACGAAAAAAGGUCUUUCUAGAUCGUCUGACGGUACCUUAUGAAUAAGCACCGGCUAACUCCGUGCCAGCCGCCGCUGUAACAC
rnacentral:rRNA from 1 species